AUGGUUUACCGUCCCACAUACAUUUUAGAUGUGUAUGUGGGAUGGUAAACCGCUU
rnacentral:pre_miRNA from 1 species